UGAGUUGCCCGGGUGACCGCGGGCCGUCGAGCGAUCGGCGCGCCUGAGGAAAGUCGGGGCUCCGAAGAGCAGGAUGCUGGCGAGAGCCAGGUGGGGGCGACCUCACGGAUCAGUGCAACAGAAAGCAGACCGCCGAUGGCCGGGUUCGCCCGGCACAGGUGAGGGUGAAAGGGUGCGGUAAGAGCGCACCAGCGUCGCGGGCGACCGUGGCGGCUCGGUAAACCCCAUCCGGAGCAAGGCCAAGUCGUGGGUUGAGUUGCUCGCUCGGCGCAACCGCGCCGCCCACAGGUGGGCUGCACAGAUGGAUGGUCACCGAACCGGAUGCCGCGAGGCGCCGGGGAACAGAACCCCGCUUACAGGGCGGCUCACCAG
rnacentral:RNase_P_RNA from 1 species